GCAUCAAGGAGUUCCAGCUGACAGAGACAAGCAAUUGAAAAGGAGCCGGGGUGGAGAGGAGGGGCACACCUUCACCUUUUCUUCCCCGUUUGAGUCACCUUCGUCUUAUUCCGCCCACGGCUGCUCUAUGUCCAGGUUCUGAGUUGAGGGAGCGGUUAACAGUAGGCCACGCUCUUCUUCAGAUGAAAGGCCAGAGAGAAGGUACCUAUUACAAGCCCGUGAGCCGAGAGACAAAGGCCUGGCUGCUGAUACUUUCCCCUCCCACUAACUUGAGUCUUAAUGCUUUUCAGAUGUGCAAAGCGCAGGUGUUCUUUCUUGUUGCCACUGGGAGGAUGAUGCUGUUAGAGGAAACCAUGCUGCUUCCCGGAGCUCUCAGUGUAAUCGGAGCAGAACAUUUUUGCAUAAAACUAAAGAUAGGUUGUCUGCUAAUAAUCCUAUUCAAACGACGCAAGCAUUCAGGGAAAACAUGACUGCCUUUAUGGCUGUUUGAAGUAUCAAGGCGACAAGACUGGACAGGCUGGACGAGCUGGUUGCUGUUAACCUAUGUGUAGCUGCUAAGUGAGCCACACAACUACAGCUUUCCUGUGAGGAAACUCACAAGAAGUCAUGGACCCUUCUCUAAGCAACUCUAUGAACUGCAAAACCAACGUCACAGAAGAUUUUGUCGUUUCUGGCCUGGAACGUCAUCUGACCCUUCUGUUAAAAACCAAAACCAAACACAAACAAAACAAAAAACCUGUUGUUAUGAUGAGGGGUUGGAGGGGUGGUGGUGGUUUCUUCAGCAGUGAUGUGCGGAUUGACUGCCUGAGCUCCUGCAGAACGCACGCACG